UUCACGUAUUAUCAAAUGGUAUAGCUGUUUAGAAAAGUAAAGUUAAUUGUUGCGCAAAUGCUACCAUAAACCUUUGACUUUUGAAUAAAUCAAACUAAGCACAAGGCAACUAAGAUACGUGGUGACCAAGAACUCUUAUAUUGAUGUUCAGUUUAUUAUUGGUGAGGCAGUGAUGUAAAGCGCGUUGUGGUGUUUUUAAAUGGAUGAAUGUUGUGCUAACAGACGGGGGGAAACUCCAGGCCUUGCAGUCCUGAUCCUGUAUGAUGCAGAAGAUGUCAAUCCAACCGCACAUUGAUCUCUGCAGCGUGGUCGGUGGGAGGAGAUGUGGCCGAGCCGUUGAACCAGGCUCUAUCGGUACCCGAUGGCCUUGGCUGAUGGAGGAACUGCAUCUGGAGGACGACCAUGAAUCUACCUGCCAACAGACCAGGACUCUGUGAUGGAGGGGUGGUGAUGGAGCCGUGCUGAGGACCCGCUGGUGAAGGACGUCCCUCGGUGGGGGGGCAAGGACAGCCGACCCUGAGGAUCCGCUCGGAUCUACGAUCGCUACGAUGCGACUGCAGAGGUCUCUGGAAGACCAGGAGUCCUUGCCUGAGGAGAGCUGAUGGAGGAGCCGUGCACCUGGAGAACCAUGAGUCUGCCUGCCAACAAGUAGUACUGGAAGGCGGGGCAUAGGGAGGUGAUGGAGGACCUGCCUGGUGAAGGACAUCAGGGUGGGGCGAGUGACACCCGACUCCAAGGGGAUAUCCACUGAGGAGAGAGCUGAAGGAGCCAUGCAUCUGGAAGUUGAAAUGCUGUGUCCAGUCUGGGACACACACCUGAGCUGCGUCAAGCCUGUAUCUCUGACCAGCUGGAGUCCCUUAGUGAUCAACAACCGCCACUCAUCGCUGGCCUGUGGAUUCAUCUCCUUCACUCACACAACGUGACCUUGGCCUGUGGAUUCAUCUACUCCACACUCACACAACAGGACUUUGGCCUGUGGAUUCAUCUACUCCACACUCACACAACAGGACUUUGGCCUGUGGAUUCAUCUCCUCCACACUCACGCAACGUGACCUUCUCACCAUCUGUUGCACGUUUGGAUGCACCUAGCGUGUUCCAUCGAGGGUUCCUUCCUCCCCACGGUGGGAGGGUUCCUUGUCCUUCAAGGCGUCGGGGUUCAGUGUUAGGGACAGAGUUAGGGACAGAUGGCUGCGCUGGAUUCACAAUAUACGCUUUGUGAUCAAAAUGGGUUCGGACAUU